rnacentral:tRNA from 1 species
GUGUCAUUAGCUCAGUCGGCAGAGCAACGGAUUGUGGCCCCGUGGGUCAUUGGUUCGAAUCCAAUAUGACACC